GAUGUGUACAAUUGCACAUACUUAAUGUUACUUGUCGUUCGCCUGUAACUGGAUAGUAUGAUUUAAGUGAUAAACACAAUAGAAUAAAAAAAAACAUUUACUAACCUAAAAAUAUAAAUUUUCGGAGCUGCUCUGGAGAGUAAUGAAUACAGAUGAGUCUCCAUUUAGUUGGUACGGAUUAAAUCUAAAGCCAUAAAAAUUACUGGCUUUAUGCUGCCCGGCAUUUAAAAAAUCAAAGGGUGACAGGAGCUGUAGCACUUAGCAGGUCUGUGGGACAAUGUUAAAUAAAUAAAAAAAGGGAUAGUUCAUAUGUCACCAAGGACAUUGUCGUUACAUAACACACUUUAAAAAUAAAGCAGGUAAUUUGGUACAGCUUUCCACGAUUAGUUCGCUCUGAAGUUGCAACGAUCGUGUGUUUGCUCAUGUAGUGAAAUACUUACAAGUUAUAAGGACGUUGAGUACACAUGCAUUGAGAUCGCUGGCGCCAUCUUCAGAUUAAAAAUAUUUGGUUGUAAAAGGAAAAAUAAUUGUUACAAAUAUACUAUUAUAAUAUGUCUUUUAAAGCAUGGUCGACGCCAGGCAGGCAUGUGAUGUUUGACAUAGGAAAGUUCAAGGAGAACCUAGUUUAGAACGAAGAAUUCUCGCAACGUUCUCUAAUCAGUAAUUAGUAGAGACCUCUCUCUACCGAUCGUGGUAGCUACUAUUGUCGGUAGAUGGAGGUCGUAGCUCUCAGUGUAUACUUCUGCGAACAUAUGAUGUCGCAGAAAGAAAGCGCCGAACGAGAUCAGGAGCAAACCGAUUAUUCUACAGCCAAAUGAGAAACAGAAAGCGGCUGAUGAUUAACCUGCGCCUCCCGCCGUGUGGGGUGUGAAAAAUUUAAACUUCAGUUUUUUGCAUUCAAUCCAUCUCUUCUCUUGAAUGCACUCCCACUCGAUAUUAGGACGACCACGAAUCGUUUUGCAUUCACAGCAAAGGUUCGACUGCUCUUGCAUACAAAGGUUGACUGAUAGAGAAUGCCUUCGGCAUUAAGUCCGCCUUUAUACAUUUAUGUAUUAUAGAAAAUGAACAUAAAAUAAAUAAAUAAAUAAAAUUUGAUACUUGUUUUCCAAAAUUUGAUACAUCCUCGCAUUGUGUACAAGCCCUUUGUUGAUUCAUAAUGAUAAUAUAGGUGCAUGCUUAUCAUUGGUUAGCGAUAGGAAUGGAUAUAUCGACAACAAAACUCAAAUAAUAAAUCAGCUUAUACCUAGUCAUAUGUUGAUGUUGUAAUGUGCUAGCCAUAUUUUUUCCAAAAACGCUGAUAAACACAUAAUAAACGAUGGGCAUCUGCUGUUCUUGCUGCUGUGGUGAUUCGACACAACCUGUGCAAGUGGUGGAGCACGCGGAAACAAACUUCGGCCCCCCGCCUCAGCCGGUGAUGAUCGUAGAACACAGUCCUUCCAACUACGGAGAAGGUGUUGGUAGAUGAUAGUGCUUUCAUAUAUUAUACGACUUAUUUAUUGAAA